rnacentral:rRNA from 1 species
CCUACGGGUGGCAGCAGUGGGGAAUAUUGCACAAUGGGCGCAAGCCUGAUGCAGCGACGCCGCGUGAGCGAUGAAGGCCUUCGGGUCGUAAAGCUCUGUCCUAAGGGAAGAAUACUGACGGUACCUUAGGAGGAAGCCCCGGCUAACUACGUGCCAGCAGCCGCGGUAAUACGUAGGGGGCGAGCGUUGUCCGGAAUUACUGGGCGUAAAGCGCGCGUAGGCGGAUAAUUAAGUCAGAUGUGAAAACUCUGGGCUCAACCGAGAGCAUGCAUCUGAUACUGGUUAACUUGAGUGUAGAAGAGGAGAGUGGAAUUCCUAGUGUAGCGGUGAAAUGCGUAGAUAUUAGGAGGAACACCAGUGGCGAAGGCGACUCUCUGGUCUAUAACUGACGCUGAGGCGCGAAAGUGUGGGGAGCAAACAGGAUUAGAUACCCCUGUAGUC